rnacentral:lncRNA from 1 species
UUUUUUCUUUUAUAGGUAAUGGUCUAUGACAGCAUUGAUAGCCACACAUCCUAUAGUAACAAAAGUUUGGAUCCACUCAUGCCAUCUAUUGGAGAAACCUUUCAUUCUCAGAGCAUGUUGGGGAAACGACCAUUUUACUUUAUCAUAAGCCUUUUCAAAGUCAAUUUUGAAACUCUAAUCAUAUUUUUACGGUGCAUUGCGUGGAUGGUCUCAUGAAGGAUUACUACUCAUCUAGUAUAUUUCUUCCUUGCAUGAAAAUCGUUUAAGAUGGUCAAACAACAUGGUCAACAAUGGCAUUGAGCCUAUUAGUAGUCACUUUGAUGAAUAUUUUGAAACUAACAUUAAAGAGGUAUAUGGGUUUGUAUUUCUUGAUCCACUCAGUAUCCUUGGUCUUUGGCAACAAAACAAUUUCACCGAAAGUGAGCCUGGAUAGGUCAAGUUGGCCAGUAUGAAAAGAAUAGAAUGGCUCCAUUAGGUCAGUCUUGAUGGCAUCCCAGAAGUUCUAGUAGAACUCUGCUCGGAUGCCAUAGGACUUGGAGCCUUGUCAUAUUCCAUCUGGAAUGCCACAUCUCCCACCUCCUCUUUUGGUAAAGGUGUCGUAAGGAUAUUGUUCUCGUCUAUUGUCACUUAUCAAAUGUCAUAUGUUUGAUUCUCAUUGAAGGUGAAGUCUACUUCCAUUGGAACCUCGACUGGAGGUACUUGGUUAUGAAACGCUUGAGAUCUGCCUAGCCCUCGACCCGUCCAUCACUCUAUUGGAGGCUAAAAAUACACUUCUUCAUGUGCCACCCAUUGGCAACCACGUGGAAAUUUAUGUAUUGUUGUCUCCCUCCAAAAUGAAUUGGGCUUUGGAUCUUUUGUGAUUUUAUAUGUGAGAUCAUCAAUAAUCAUGGAAAGGUGCUGCUUUUAUUUUUUUUAUAUAAAUACCACUGGCGUAUUUCGUCCAUUCCGAUAGAAGAGGAAAUUAAUAAGCUUCUGAGGUUGAUUAGUGGAGCAGAGAUCUUUCCACUCGUGAAAUUGCAUAGGUCUAACCAAUUGGCCACAAGUUAGAACAUGCAUUGAUCGAUGGAUCGAUCAUUAUACUUUAAUUGGAUGUAGCUGGAAUUUCCUCGGACGCAUGGCCGCAUGGGAACAUGAAUAUACUCUAGGUCAGGUAUCGGAUCGUCGACAUGCAUCUUUCUUAUUGAGAUCAAGUUGAGAGAGCAGGUAGGUCCCUGAAAUGGACAUGCAGGACUUGAUAUGUCCUUUGUUGAACUUGCCUUAUUAAAUAGCCGAGGUAGUGGCUCAUUUUUCGAGGGAGCUGGUCAAGCAAGCAGAAGGACUAUAGUGGAACUUUAGACUAGCCACAAUGGGAGUAACUUCAGCAGUAACAUCGAGCCCAACUCAACAAAUUUGCUUAUGUGGCAAUGAGUUAAUGAGGAGAGAGGUAGUUUCAGCAACUUAGCUAGUUACUGUAAUAUCACAUGUCCCAAUGCAAUAUGAGUCUAUAACCUAAUAAAUAAAGCUUUGCAUGACAUCACACUUAUGUUACUACCCACUAUGAAGGUAGUAACGUACUCUAGGGAUAUGCGUAUGUUACUAGUGUAUGUUACAAUCCACUGUGGCUAGUCUUUGCGUAGAUGGUAGUGUUUGCACUCGAAGCAACUUAGGCUAGGUAAACCAAUGGUCAAUGCAAUGCUACGUCUACGUAGGAAGUUACAAAACUUUUACGUAAUAAGCCAGUUGGCAGAAUGUGAUUGGGAUUAGAGGAGAGGAGGGGCCCACCCCACUGAAAAUCAGGGGGCAGAGAAUUAGUUAAGGGAAGUUAUGUAGCCCCUUCGUAACCCCUCUGGAGGUCUAGGAUUUAUUGCGUGCAUACAUAUGUUACAAUUGCAAUGGAGUAAAUGGACAUAUUAUACUACUCAAUUAGGGCACCUCUAAGGCGGACAAACAAACCUCCCAUAACCGUCCGGACACACUUGUCCGGACCUCGUAAGCCAUCCAAUGGCGAUCUCCAUCGGUCCGCGGAAUGAUCCGAAGCGCAAUUUUUUCACAAACCGGAACUAAACGAGGGGGGCUUUGCAGAAGUCCGGACACAAGCCACAUAGGACUCCGAAACCAUGGCCCACCAAAAACUGAGGCGGAGCCCGUGAUUUGUAGCUGGCCGCACUCUUUCAAUGGUAAAAUGCCCCCACUUUCCUCUUCCAUCCAGCCGCUCUCCCCCUAAUUUUGUUCUUUCUUUCCAUCACCGAUGCAUGCAUGGACCCGAGGGAGAAGUUGCCAGAGACGGCGGUGGUGAAGGAUCCAGCGAUCACACUCGCCGGAAUGAUCAACUUGGAGACACGGCAAAAUCGUUGCCUCAAAGCAAAGGCAAAGGUGGUGCCGCUCAAGAAGCAGAAGGUCGGCUGAGGCCGAGAUGGAGGGCAGAGCCUAAGACGUGGGGGCCGCUGCCGUUGCCGGCCGUGCAGACACCGCCAUGGCCGGAGCAUUACAAGGCUUUGUACUACUACACCUCCAAGCAGCUUGGUAGGUAGUCACCGGCAUCCGCCGCCAGGCAAGUGCCCUUCGUCGAUGUCGUCAAUGCGAUGUCGCAGCUUGUCUCAGAGUGUUCAUCAUCGCAGCUAGUCCGGGUGCAGACGUCGGGCAUGGAGCAGCUGGGUGUCUGCAUGUUGUUCACUUAUAUGCCUAAAGCGGGCGAGCCGGUAUAUGACGAAGCAUACAGGAGGAUGUUUGACAUCAUCCAUGAUAGAGGUAGGGAAGAAGGUUUCUACUAGGAUGGGCAUGUGGAUGACUAGGAGCCCGCCCAGACCGGCUCAUACACCCAGCUGGGCUCGUAGCAGGGCUACACCUAGUCCGGCAUGUACACCCAGCAGGGCACGCAACCGGGAUACACCCAGUUCGGCACGUACACCCAGCCGGGAACAGACACACAACAACAUGAUUGGGCCGCCGAACAAUAGGAGUAGGAGGAGAAUGGAUACGACGAUGAUCCCGAUGAAUUUGUUGCCGAUCCAAAAAGAGGGGUAGAGAAGAAAGCUUCAACAUACGAGAGGACGAGUUGUUGUGUAAUGCAUGAUUGGGCACGGAGCAAAAUGGCACAAUAGUUUGGGCCAACAUUCACUCUUGGUUCCAUGAACACAAGCAUUUCCAUCCCUACGCCGAUGCGCUCAUCCGCAACCGUGGCGCAAAGUCUCUCAACCAUCAUGUUGGGGAACGUUGCAUGAAAACAAAAAAAUUCCUACGCCCAUGCAAGAUCUAUCAAGGAGAUGCAUAGCAACGAGAGGGGAGAGUGUGUCUACGUACCCUCGUAGACCAUAAGCGGAAGCUUUUAGUAAUGCAGUUGAUGUAGUCGAACUUCUUCGCGCACCAACCGACCAAGUACCGAACGUACGGCACCUUCGAGUUCUGCACACGUUCAACUCGGUGACAUCCUCGCCUUCUUGAUCCAGCGAGAUGGGCGAAGUAGUAGAUGAGUUCCAGCAGCAUGACGGCAUGGUGGCGGUGAUGGUGAAGUUAUCUCUGCAGGGCUUCGCCUAAGCACUACGAAAAUAUGACCGAUGGACAAACUAGAGGGAGAGGGGCACCGCACACUGCUAGGGAAUCGUGGUGUGUGUUUCCCCUCUCCUUCCUCUCAUAUAUAUAGGUGGAGGGGGAGAGAAGGCAGCCCCUAGGGCGCCCCAAGUGGCUGGCGGCUUCCCUAGAGCGCCUGUUCUGGCCGAAUCCCCCUUUUUCAUAUUUGUGUAUGGGGGAAGGAAAGGGGGGUUGGCUGCCUUUGGGGCGCCUUCCCCUUCCUUCCCUCCCUUUUUGGUACGUGGGAAAGGGGUAGAAGGGGCGCACCAGCCCCUUGUGGGCUGGUGUGCUUCUCCCCCUUUGGCCCAUAAGGCCCAUACACUUGUCGGGGAUGUUCGGAACCCCUUCCGGUGCCCCGAUGACUACCCGGUGCACUCUAAAACUCUUCCGGUGGUCGAACACCAUUUUCCUAUAUAUCAAUCUUUACCUCUCGACCAUUUCGAGACUCCUCGUCAUGUCCGUGAUCUCAUCUGGGACUCCGACAACAUUCGGUCACCAAAUCAUAUAACUCAUAUAACACUAUAUCAGCAACGAACGUUAAGCGUGCGGAGCGUACGGGUUCGAGAACUAUGUAUACAUGACCGAGACACCUCUCCAGUCAAUAAAAAAAUGCAAAACCUGGAUGCCCAUAUUGGUUCCUACAUAUUCUACGAAGAUCUUUAUCGGUCGAACCGUUAUGCCAACAUACGUAAUUCCCUUUGUCCAUCGGUAUGUUACUUGCCCGAGAUUCGAUCGUCGGUAUCUCUAUACCUAGUUCAAUCUCGUUACCGGCAAGUCGUUUUACUCAUUCCAUAAUACAUCACCCCGUAACUAACUCCUUAGUCAUUUGCUUGCAAUCUUAUGAUGUGUAUUACCGAGAGAGCACAGAGAUACCUCUCCGAAACCGGAGUGACAAAUCCUAAUCUUGAUCUAUGCCAACUCAACAUACACCUUCGGAGAUACCUGUAGAGCAUCUUUAUGAUCACCCAGUUACGUUGUGACGUUUGAUAGCACACAAGAUAUUCAUCCGGUAUCCGGGAGUUGCAUAAUCUCAUAGUCGAAGGAAUAUGUAUUUGACAUGAAGGAAGCAAUAGCAAUAAACUGAACGAUCAUUAUGCUAAGCUAACGGGUGGGUCUUGUCCAUCACAUCAUUCUCCUAAUGAUGUGAUACCAUUAUCAAAUGACAACACAUGUCUAUGGUUAGGAAACCUUAAUCAUCUUUGAUCGACGAGCUAGUCUAGUAGAGGCAUACUAGGGACACAGUAUUUAUGUAUUCAUACAUGUAUUUAAGUUUCUGAUCAAUACAAUUCUAGCAUGAAUAAUAAACCUUUAUCAUGAAUAAGGAAAUAUAAAAUAACUACUUUAUUAUUGCCUUUAGGGCAUAUUUCCUUCACAUCGAUGGUACAUCAUCUAAGAGGCCGUGUAGAAGUAUUGAGCCACUUGAGGCAACUAUCGCACGGCAGCCAAGUAGUGCGCAAAUCGUCAAGUGAGUAAGUUCAUCAUUUGGCCGGAAAUGCAUUGUUCUGUAGACCACUUGGGCAGAUAUGCAUUGUUUUAAAGAUCAAUUGGCCGGAUAGCAUUGUUUUAUGGAUCAUUUGGUCGGAUAUGCAUUGUUUUGUAGAUCAUUUGGCCGGAUAUGCAUUGUUAACAAUGUUUUAUUUUAUAGCCUUCCCAUGCGUGUAGUGUGCUCUUGAAGUUGGAGAAGAAAAACUUCACCAUCAUGCAUUGUUGAUUGAAAUUGAAUGGACAACCCAAGUGAAAUCUAUACAUUACCAAGACCAUCGCCCAUGGCACCGAGGAAGAAACCGGUGCUCCAACCGACCCAACAAAAGAACCGCCCAAGAAGUUUAGAAGAGGGUUUCAUCGAAAGAAGUGGGAGAGGGAAAGGGCGAAGCAAGAGGGGCGGCGCCCAAGAAGUUUAGAAAAGGGUUUCAUCGAAAGAAGUGGGAGAGGGAGAGGGCGAAGCAAGAGGGAUGGCGCCCAAGAAGUUUAGAAGAGGGUUUCAUCGAAAGAAGUGGGAGAGGGAGAGGGCGAAGCAAGAGGGGAGGCGCCCAAGAUGAUGGAGAGGUUCAAGGACAUCUUGUCGAAGGAGGAGGCAUACGUCAAGCGCUCUGACGUCAAGGAGGAAAAAAGGCGGAGAGGUUUAACAUGUUGCUGGCAGCGACCAACAAGAAGCUCAAGGUCGAAGAGAAGAAGAUCAUGCUCAAAGAGAGAAAGGUUGAGAUUGCAGCCGCUUCAGAGGAUACGAAGAUGUUGACCUUGAAGAUGGGGGAUUUAGAUGACGACGCAAGGAUGAUCGUGCAAGCCGUCCUUUCAAUAUGUUGAAGCGACGGAAGGAAGAGUUGGAGGCGCCAGAAAAGGAGGUGGCCGAGACGGCGGAGGAGGCAGAGGCAGCGGCGGACUGAGUGUGGAGGCUCAGAUUGCAUGUCCAGCAGAGGAGAAGAUUCAUAUUUUUUUUGCAUGAAUUGUCGGACUGAUAUUUUUUUUGGUUGUGCGCAGGGUUGAUUUGACCAGGUGUGCGCUAUAUGAUCAGACAGAUUUGAAUUUGAAAUUAAUCAUACUGGCGGACAUUUGGGAGAAUAGCGUUAGAUGGUUGGCUCCCGUAUCAUAGACUGGUCUCCUCUGUCCACGGUUCACGGACGAUGCGAUUUGGAGGUCGGGUUGGAGAUGCCCUUAGUACUACUAGUACUAGUUGAUAGACUCUGGUACUCUAUAUUUGUGCGUUCGAUUGCAAGGUUCAGGCAUGCCUGCCUGACUGAAUGUGUCGCCAUCACGUUUAUUUACGUCCCCGGUCACACUCAGGUUAGCUGAUCGAGUUAGCAAUGGUGAACACGUGCGUACGUAUGUGUAUGUUGCGACAGCCUGCUGAGCGAAUCGUGGGCCAACACGUACGUAGGUAGGCUCAUGGCGACCGUAUGUUUGUACGUAGUACCAUGGAGAGUCGGUGGUCUGCAUCACCGGCCAAUAAGUAGAUGAUUCGUCAACGUGAAGCAGGACAUUCGUAAAGAAUACACAAUGCAGAAUAAGGGAAAGAAGGGUGGCCCAGACAACACCCACUGCACAAUAGAAUAGAAUAGAAUAGAAUAGAAUACAGUAGAGGCUGAUCGACCAAUGGCGGAGCGACACGUGCGUGCGCACACUGUGAUAAUGAUCAUUGUGUCCGGGUAUUGAGUUAUGCACAAAGAAAGUAAAUGAAGACGGAGGGACAGGAAACCGACAUCUUCCUCCACGGCCACAUUUCCGGAGACUGCAGACCGACAGCAGCAACUCGCUACGAGUGUAUACAUCCGGCUGGCAACUAGCAAACCUACUUAGCUAUCGCUACGCUUAGAUUUACUCUACUGAUGCUGAAUGUACGCAAAGUUCGGACUCUUAAUACUUCAUUUUGAGCUAACAAAUCUCAGGCCCGGGGUUACAGGAGCUAGCACUGUGCACUGAUCCAGUGAACACACACUAGAAAGAUGGAGAGAUGGUAUUGCGACGUGGCCUCUUGUCCAGCAACGGCCGUAACAAAGCCGCUCACUGCAACUGCACCGCUGCUUUAUGGUUUCCCAACGCAGAUGAUAGAUAGAUAUAUGUGUGGGGUGCUUUGAGACCAGUAGACUAGUCUGCAUAAAGAAGAACAAACGGAGGAAAGAGAGAUACCUGCUUUGCUCGUCAAAGCUCAGUCUUGGACCGAGACCGUCCGUCCAUCAUCAGUACUAGUAGAGCACCACCACCACGGGUAGAAUAUGCUGCUGCUUUUCAACAUUCGCAUGUAUAACAAAAACUGACUACCACAUCAAGAAUGGUUCCAACUUACACGAUAAAUUCUUAUUUACUUACACAAACAUUGAUUGAAGAAGUAUAUGACAAUAUAUAUACAUAUUGGACACACAUGCACCACCAACUGAUAUAUCAAAAGGUAGGCAAGGCUAAGCACAUCCACUCAUCAAGAGAGGAGCUCCUUCCUAACUCCAUAAUUUAUUAACUCGAAAAAAAAAAACUCGAUGAUUUAAACCACAGAUGCAAAACAGCCCAACAAAGCUCACAAAAUGCAGAAGAAACAUAUUUCACAUAACAAGAGUAUCAAGCCCUAGGAGGACUAUGAGGUUUCCUACCAGCCCAAGACCGAAUUCAGUCACUUGAUACAUCAUCAUCACCAUAAUACAGUCAUCAAAUCUAUAGACUAAACUAGCAAUUAAGGAUCAACAUCCAUACUAUAUCAUGCUCAGCACACGCACAAAAUGUUUCACCGAGCACUAAACACAACCAUCUAGCCAACCAAACAGCCCGCAAGGCUCACCCGAGCACCUCUUGCGGCAAAAUUCUCCCCUAUCAUCAACUAGCAACACAAAUCUUGGAAUCGCCGAACCGGAAAUAAAAUUACAGCAGGCACCCUCCUUUCACCACCACCACCACCCUGGAAGAAAACUCAGGCUCCGGGACAGACAUGGAGGCCUCUGGAGGCCUAAUCGACCAUCAAACUGGAUUAGCAAUGCGGUGCACAAUCACAGAGCAC